GAAGUAGUUCAGAAAUGUUUAGAAAAGAAGUGAUAUGCUGCCAUUCUUCUCAAAAGUGUCCAUGUGAUGGGUGCUACACAAUACUAUUGCAGUAGGAAUUUAAAAAGCACUCUGGAAGGAUUCAUGUGUCUCACAGCAAUUUGAAACUAAGAGGACAGGAUGAUAUUUCUACUAAAUGGACAUUUGCAAAAGAGAUCCUGGGAAAUGUUCAUUGAAGUUUUUACUUCUUGUCAGAAUAAAGGACAUUUAGCUGUUCCAAUUCAAUAACAGAGACUUCUCAGAAAGCCAUCAGCAUCUACAUAUCCAAUAAUUGAGAUAUCCACCUGAAUAUCCAAAUGAGAAAUAACACUAGCACAAUUCUGUGGUUGGAUUAUUUAUCUGUUUAUUUAUUUAUUCAAAAAUGUAAAGGUAAAACCUUUCGCCAGCAGACACAGCUCCUUGUAAAACCUGAAAGCCAUAUAUUGCUGCCUGAGAACAACUGAUGCUCAGCUAAGCAGCAACUUUAUACGUUUGAUAAUAUUUUUUGUUGAAUAGUUCAGAAGUAAAUGAUUUUUACUAUAAAAUCUGAAACCUUGCUAUUGCUUUUUCAAAUUACCUUCUUUCUCAAACAAGUAGCAAUAGUAACAAUGCUCACUUCUAAUGUUUUUUUCAGUUAGACAUAGCUGCAGAAGACAAAGUAUAUACUGACUUUAGUGACUUGUUACACCUUUCCAGCUGCAAAUGCCAAGAAUGGAAAACUGUUGGGCUUGUCAAAUAUUUGCCUAAGUAAUUUAAAAGUUUCAGGAAAGAAUAAUGAAGAAGCAGCAUUAAAUGGAGGAGGGAAAGAAAAUAGAGAAAGUCAGAUAUGUGCUAGGACUGAAUAGUACCUCCCCCCCAGAAAAAGUGUUAUGUCAUGUAUUGUCCAAAUAUUCACAAAUAUUUUAUUCAGUUCAGAAGAAAACCUGCAUUUUAUGUUACUUAUAUGGCAGGUCACUCAAGUUGACAAGUAUAUAAAAAACUUUUUGUUUUUUCAAUGGCAGAAAGGUAAAUAGAAAUAAUAAUUAAAAACAAAUUCUACCAAGAUGAUAAUUGAUUUGAAAAAAAAAAAAAAUCUGCCCUUAGUGCUGUCUGUUGACUGAUAAAUCAUAGAUCAAAAUCCCUACUAUAAAAUAUUGAAGCAAGUCUUAUACACCUCAGGCAUAGAUUGAGACUUUAAUGACUUGCACAUACUAAAGACCAUUUGAAUCCAAAAUAAAUUCAGAAUGCUGUACUGGUGUCUGAUUUUACCUCAAUUUUAUACCCAUCUACUUAUAGUAAUUCCAACCUUAUUGUUUCUGAAAAAGAAAUGGACAUUCAUUAGGAGUGCAUUUAAAUAUGCAAACCAUGAGAAUGUUCACUAACAGGAUGAUUAUUUUUUCUCCCUUAAUGACCUCCAGAUAUAGGCUAAAAUCAGGCUAGGACAGGGUCACUAGCUCAUAUGUCUAAACUUUUCAGCCUAUGAAUCAUCUUUUAUUUAUUAUUUUUUGUCUUUUGUUGUUGUUGUUUGUUUGUUUGUUUGGAAUCAUGUAUUGGAUACUGCUUUUCAGAUAGCAAAAUUACAUUUUUCUGAAUGCCUUCCUUUUUAAAAUAGACCGUCUUCUGACUGUUCACAAAUUACAUUCCUCAUUUUUACUAAUAAAAAAUGCGUAAGUGUA